rnacentral:rRNA from 1 species
AGUGAACGCUGGCGGUAGGCCUAACACAUGCAAGUCGAACGGCAGCACAGUAAGAGCUUGCUCUUACGGGUGGCGAGUGGCGGACGGGUGAGGAAUACAUCGGAAUCUACUUUUUCGUGGGGGAUAACGUAGGGAAACUUACGCUAAUACCGCAUACGACCUACGGGUGAACGCAGGGGAUCUUCGGACCUUGCGCGAUUGAAUGAGCCGAUGUCGGAUUAGCUAGUUGGCGGGGUAAAGGCCCACCAAGGCGACGAUCCGUAGCUGGUCUGAGAGGAUGAUCAGCCACACUGGAACUGAGACACGGUCCAGACUCCUACGGGAGGCAGCAGUGGGGAAUAUUGAACAAUGGGCGCAAGCCUGAUCCAGCCAUACCGCGUGGGUGAAGAAGGCCUUCGGGUUGUAAAGCCCUUUUGUUGGGAAAGAAAAGCAGCAGGUUAAUACCCCGCUGUUCUGACGGUACCCAAAGAAUAAGCACCGGCUAACUUCGUG